rnacentral:rRNA from 1 species
CAGCAGCCGCGGUAAUACGUAGGGGGCGAGCGUUACCCGGAAUCACUGGGCGUAAAGGGAGCGUAGGUGGCCUGACAUGUCAACUGUGAAAACCCGGAGCUCAACUCCGGACUUGCAGUUGAAACUGCCAGGCUUGAGGACGGUAGAGGAAGACGGAACUGCCAGUGUAGGGGUAAAAUCCUUAGAUAUUGGCAGGAACGCCGGUGACGAAGGUGGUUUUCUGGGCCGGUUCUGACACUGAUGCUCGAAAGCCAGGGGAGCGAACGGGAUUAGAUACCCCGGUAGUCCUGGCCCUAAACGAUGUUCACUAGGUGUGGGGAGCGGAAAGCUUUCCGUGCUAAAGCUAACGCGAUAAGUGAACCGCCUGGGGAGUACGCCCGCAAGGGUGAAACUCAAAGGAAUUGACGGGGGCCCGCACAAGCGGUGGAACGUGUGGUUUAAUUCGAUGCUAAGCGAAGGACCUUACCAAGGUUUGACAUGCUGAUAGUAGUGAAUUGAAAGAGGAACGACCACACUUUGUGUGGAGUCAGCACAGGUGGUGCACGGCCGUCGUCAGCUCGUGCCGUGAGGUGUUGGGUUAAGUCCCGCAACGAGCGCAACCCCUGNUCUUAGUUGCCAGCGGUAAGGCCGGGCACUCUAGGAGGACCGCCGCCGACGAGGCGGAGGAAGGGGGGGAUGACGUCAGGUAUCGUGCCCCUUAUAUCUUGGGCGACACACGCGCUACAAUGGGUUGGACAGAAGGGACCGAGACAGCAAUGUGGAGGAAAUCCUCAAACCAACCCCCAGUUCAGAUUGCAGGCUGCAACCCGCCUGCAUGAAGCCGGAAUCGCUAGUAAUCGCAGAUCAGCCAAGCUGCGGUGAAUACGUUCCCGGGCCUUGUACACACCGCCCGU